rnacentral:rRNA from 1 species
UCCUGCGGCUUAAUUUGACCCAACACGGGAAACCUCACCCGGCCCGGACACGGAAAGGAUUGACAGAUUGAUAGCUCUUUCUCGAUUCUGUGGGUGGUGGUGCAUGGCCGUUCUUAGUUGGUGGAGCGAUUUGUCUGGUUAAUUCCGAUAACGAACGAGACUCCGGCAUGCUAACUAGUUACGCGGCCCCGUGCGGUCGGCGUCCAACUUCUUAGAGGGACAAGUGGCGUUCAGCCACACGAGAUUGAGCAAUAACAGGUCUGUGAUGCC